UCCCUGGUGGUUCAGUGGUGAGGACUCCACACUCUCGUUGCCAAAGGUCUAGGUUCAAUCCCUGGUGAGGGAA
rnacentral:tRNA from 1 species